AGUCACUGACAUUAGAUACCCCCCGUAGUCCAGGGUGUAAACGCUGCGGGCUUGGUGUUGGGGGUCCUUUGAGGGCGCCCAGUGCCGGAGAGAAGUUGUUAAGCCUGCUGCUUGGGGAGUACGUCCGCAAGGAUGAAACUUAAAGGAAUUGGCGGGGGAGCACCGCAACGGGUGGAGCUUGCGGUUUAAUUGGAUUCAACGCCGGAAAUCUUACCGGGACCGACAGCAACAUGAAGGCCAAGCUGAAGACUUUGCCGGAUUAGCUG
rnacentral:rRNA from 1 species